GACGAACGCUGGCGGCGUGCCUAAUACAUGCAAGUAGAACGCUGAAGGAGGAGCUUGCUUCUCUGGAUGAGUUGCGAACGGGUGAGUAACGCGUAGGUAACCUGCCUGGUAGCGGGGGAUAACUAUUGGAAACGAUAGCUAAUACCGCAUAAGAGUAGAUGUUGCAUGACAUUUGCUUAAAAGGUGCGAUUGCAUCACUACCAGAUGGACCUGCGUUGUAUUAGCUAGUUGGUGGGGUAACGGCUCACCAAGGCGACGAUACAUAGCCGACCUGAGAGGGUGAUCGGCCACACUGGGACUGAGACACGGCCCAGACUCCUACGGGAGGCAGCAGUAGGGAAUCUUCGGCAAUGGACGGAAGUCUGACCGAGCAACGCCGCGUGAGUGAAGAAGGUUUUCGGAUCGUAAAGCUCUGUUGUAAGAGAAGAACGAGUGUGAGAGUGGAAAGUUCACACUGUGACGGUAUCUUACCAGAAAGGGACGGCUAACUACGUG
rnacentral:rRNA from 1 species